GGUUCGAUUCUGGCUCAGAUUGAACGCUGGCGGGAUGCUUUACACAUGCAAGUCGAACGGCAGCACGGACUUCGGUCUGGUGGCGAGUGGCGAACGGGUGAGUAAUGUAUCGGAACGUACUGAAAAUGGCGGGGGAUAACUACGCGGCGUAGCUAAUACACCGCGCCCUUCGGGGGAAAGCAGGGGGACCUUCGGGCCACUCGCACUAUUAAACGGCCGAUAUCGGAUUAGCUAGUUGGUGGGGGUAACGGCUCACCAAGGCGACGAUCCGUAGCUGUUUGAGAGGACGACCAGCCACACUGGGACUGAGACACGGCCCAGACUCCUACGGGAGGCAGCAGUGGGGAAUUUUGGACAAUGAGGGAAACCCUGAUCCAGCCAUCCCGCGUGUGCGAUGAAGGCCUUCGGGUUGUAAAGCACUUUUGGCAGGAAAGAAACGGCACGGGAUAAUACCCCGUGCAACUGACGGUACCUGCAGAAUAAGCACCGGCUAACUACGUGCCAGCAGCCGCGGUAAUACGUAGAAGAUUGCAAGCGUUAAUCGGAAUUACUGGGCGUAAAGCGUGCGCAGGCGGUUCGGGAAAGAAAGAUGUGAAAUCCCAGAGCUUAACUUUGGAACUGCAUUUUUAACUACCGAGCUAGAGAGUGUGUCAGGGAGGUGGAAUUCCUGCGUGUAGCAGUGAAAUGCGUAGAUAUGCGGAGGAACACCGAUGGCGAGCAGCCUCCUGGGAUAACACUGACGCUCAUGCACGAAAGCGUGGGAGCAAACAGGAUUAGAUGCCCUGGUAGUCCAUACAAACGUGUCAACUAGCUGUUGGGGCCUUCGGGCCUUGGUAGCGCAACUAACGCGUGAGUGUCGCCUGGGAGAGUACGGUCGCAAGAUUAAAACUCAAAAGGAAUUGACGGGGACCCGCACAAGCGGUGGAUGAUGUGGAUUAAUUCCCGAUACAACACGAAAAACCUUACCUACCCUUGACAUGUCUGGAAUCCCGAAGAGAUUUGGGAGUGCUCCUGCAAGAACGGAACACAGGGUGCUGCAUGGCUGUCGUCAGCUCAAACCGUCAUUGAGAUGUUGGGUUAAGUCCCGCAACGAGCGCAACCCUUGUCAUUAUGGGUUUGUACGAAAGGGCACUCUAAUGAGACUGCCGGUGACAAACCGGAGGAAGGUGGGGACCGUCAGUCCUCAUAUUGCACUAUGGGUAGAGCUACACGUCAUACAAUGGUCGGGACAGAGGGUCGCCAACCCGCGAAGGGGAGCCAAUCCGAAACCCGAUCGUAGUCCGGAUCGCAGUCUGCAACUCGACUGCGUGAAGUCGGAAUCUGUAAGUAAUCGCGGAUCAGCAUGUCGCGGGCGAAUACGUUCCCGGAUCUUUGCCGCCCGUCACGCAAAAGCUGGGAGUGGGUUUUACCAAAAUGGUCAGCCUAACGCCGUAAGGAGGGCGAUUUACAGUAGGAUUCAUGACUGGGGUGGGGUAUGCUGGGUAA
rnacentral:rRNA from 1 species